CCUACGGGUGGCAGUAGUGAGGAAUAUUGGUCAAUGGCCGAGAGGCUGAACCAGCCAAGUCGCGUGAGGGAAGACGGCCCUACGGGUUGUAAACCUCUUUUGUCGGGGAGCAAAGAGAGUCAAGUGUGACUCAUUGAGAGUACCCGAAGAAAAAGCAUCGGCAAACACCGUGCCAGCAGCCGCGGUAAUACGGGGGAUGCGCGCGUUAUCCGGAUUUAUUGGGGUAAAGGGGUGCGCAGGCGGAGGUGCAAGUCAGCGGUCACCUUGCGGGGUCCAACCCCGGACUGCCGUUGAAACUGCAUCCCUUGAGUGCGCGAGAGGUAUGCGGAAUGCGUGGUGUAGCGGUGAAAUGCAUAGAUAUCACGCAGAACUCCGAUGGCGAAGGCAGCAUACCGGCGCGCAACUGACGCUCAUGCACGAAAGCGUGGGUAUCGAACAGGAUUAGAUACCCGGGUAGUC
rnacentral:rRNA from 1 species